CCGCCGCCGCCAUCCAAGAGAUGAUCCAGGGUUCCAUGCUUUCUCUAAACCCUAAUCCUCCAUUGGUGGAUCUUGAUUUAUUGUCGCCGUUCACCCUAUAUUUCUGUGCUUCUUUUUGUUUGUGGGCAAUUUGUUGCUGCUUCGUCGGUGAUCUGCGUUUUCUUGUUUUCUGUUCUUAGCCUAAAAUUGCAAUUGCUCGCUGCUACUAUGCGGCGAGGAAUCUAUCCUUAGGCUAGAUCGAACCAAAGGGGAGGACACUUUCCUAGUUCUUCCCGCCUGCUUUUUAAGCUCCGGCCUUCCUCUGUUUAUCCAGGAUUCGCCGGUGACAAAGUAGGUAAAUUCCUGUGAAAUCUUGUUAUUGUGUUUUGAAGUUGGCUCUUGGUUUGCUUGGUGAUUAUUCUGUGUCUGUCUGUGCCAAUGGCCUGGCGAGGGAUGAUGAAGAAAAUCAUUCGGAUUCCCAUUGAUUUGUACCAACAAAGAUGAGAUCUUCAACCAGCUACUUCUGACCCAACAACAUGCCAUUGGCCAUUUUCAGUUUUUGUAUUUACCUCCUUUUUUGUGGAAUUUGUUUCUUCUUAAUCUGAUGGGCCAGUGAUGUUAUCAAAAUAUUUGCUACUCUUGAUGGGGCUAGAGUCCCAUUUGAUGACCACAACCACCAAGAUCUCUGAGGCCUUCCGUAAUCAUAUCGUUUAUGUUUUGUUCUUCACUUCCAAAUUUGUGUUCGACAACCGAAACUGUACCACGUUUCAGGUUACGAUGGUUCUCGUGAUUAAACGGCAAUCCGAGGUUAUACAUGUCCACCGUCACCACGCGUGCCUACCCGUGGCGAUCCGGUGAAAACUUCCGUCCAGUGAACCUGAACUUUCAUCAUGAGCCGUUAGAUCAAGAAUACACAGCUCAAAUUAGAGGGCGACGUAACCAUCCAUCCUGAACAAAUCCCCUCGUUCCCCGAUCCCCACCCACGAGCUCGGCCUUCCUCCAUGGCGACAUCGACGGCCCUGACGGCUACUCGGCCACGGCUCACGCGCUGCAGGAGGUGGCCUCUCCCUAGGUAAUCUCCUCCCCACGCGCAACUGGCAGCGGCGGUGCUGACCUGAUGGCGGCGGCCUCCACGACCCGGCGAAUCGACGGCCUGCCCCGACCUCCAUGCGAUGAGACCUGGCGACGGCACAGCCUCCAGACUGCACCAGGCGACGGCACGGACUCGACCAGGCGACGGCACAACCUCCAGACUCCAUGCAACGGCGACCCGAUGCUGCGACCACUCUCCAUGGGACGGGACCUGCAUUUGCACCUGUUCCUUUGCUGAAGAAAGUUACUGAAGCUACGUGCUGCCGAACCUGCUACUUUGCUGAAGAAAACAGAGUUAUUGCUUUGCCGAUCCAAUGUAUUUUUAAACAAUGUAUGGAAGCAAUCUGAUCAGAUAAGCUAAGCUGAGCCCAAAGGUAAUGAUCAGUUUUGCAUCUUCAGAUGUACUAGCAAAAAAACCCGUGCGAUGCUAUGGAACAACGGAAAGUGUAUCAAACACAAGCCGGUGGAGGUGAAAUCUGGACAUUGAUUUUUUGAUUGGAUUGAUUUCCAUAUUGAGAUUAAUACUGAGAUUUUUUGUUUGGGUU